UUUUCAAAAAAAAAAAAAAAACACAUUUCUUCCUGGUACCAAUAGGCAAUAGCCAUCUUCAACACCUUAACAGCUACCACCGUCUCCCUGGCACCAAAAACCCUAACCUUUUCCUUCUCGAUCUCCGGCCGCCAUCACCACCAUUAGCCCCGCCGCAAGCAUCGACGCCAUCGCCAACCAUCACCACCAUCAUCAAUGAUUGGGGUCCCCGACUUAUAAAAGGUUUCAUGAUUUUCACUACCAACGCGCCAUUCACCACCACCGCUAAUACCUUCUCUUUUGAUGUGGAUCUUCAGCGGCCAUUCAUCCAUCCACGUCCUGAUUUUCAUUGAGGAAGAGUUGAAGACAGAUUACAAACCGCAUAAACAGGCAAAAUGGACCUGUAGUUUUGGUUACCUACCAUCUCUCUUUGCUACAUUUUUGGUUGCCCAUGGGGGUGUUGGUUAAAGAAGCUACUUUUAUUGGAUAAUGAUUUCGAGAUGCUGGCGGAGUGGCGGGCAGUAAUUAUUGUGUAUGUUAAAAUAUAAAUUUUGAAUGAAUAUGUGAUGUUCAAGGAUCUUCAUCAGUUAUGUAUAAAAGGGUGUUUGAA